UACGUAGGGUGCGAGCGUUAAUCGGAAUACUGGGCGUAAAGCGUGCGCAGGCGGUUCGUUAAGUUCGAUGUGAAAGCCCCGGGCUCAACCUGGGAAUGGCAUUGGAAACUGGCGGACUCGAGUGUGGCAGAGGGGGUGGAAUUCCGCGUGUAGCAGUGAAUGCGUAGAGAUGCGGAGGAACACCGAUGGCGAAGGCAGCCCCCCUGGGCUAACACUGACGCUCAGCACGAAAGCGUGGGGGGAGCAACAGAUGA
rnacentral:rRNA from 1 species